GACGAACCGUGCGAACGUUGUUCGGAAUCACUGGGCUUAAAGGGCGCGUAGGCGGGCCGGACGGUCCGGGGUGAAAUCCCCCCGCUCAACGGGGGAACGGCUCCGGAUACCGCCGGCCUCGAGGGGGGUAGGGGCGAGCGGAACGCUGGGUGGAGCGGUGAAAUGCGUUGAUAUCCAGCGGAACACCUGUGGCGAAGGCGGGUCUCUGGGCCGAUACUGACGCUGAGGAGCGAAAGCGUGGGGAGCGAACAGG
rnacentral:rRNA from 1 species